GACAGAUGGUAGCUCAGUCGGUAGAGCAUGAGACUCUUAAUCUCAGUGUCGUGGGUUUGAGCCCUACUUUGGGCG